rnacentral:RNase_P_RNA from 1 species
CGAUGCCGUACAGGCGAUCGCCGGUCGCGGGGCCUCUCCAAAAGAGCGGCACCGUGACGGGAGGAAAGUCCGAGCUCCACAGAGCGCGAUGCCGGGUAACGCCCGGUGGCGGGAACGCCAAGGAAAGUGCAACAGAGAACAGACCGCCUGGCCGACCUCGGUCCGCCAGGUAAGGGUGAAACGGCGGGGUAAGAGCCCACCGCGUCUCCGGCAACGGCGACGGCGAAGGCAGACCCCAUCGGGAGCAAGGCCACGUAGGCGGGCAUGCCGCGCUGGAGACCGCGAGGUCGAAGGAGCGGUGGAGGACGGCUCGUUCGAGCCCGCGGGUAGGCUGCUCGAGGCGACCGGUAACGGUCGUCCUAGAGGAAUGAUACGCCGCCGCGUCGAGGGCGACCUCGUCGCGGAACAGAACUCGGCUUACGGACGACGUCGACCA